rnacentral:rRNA from 1 species
GACGAACGCUGGCGGCGUGCCUAAUACAUGCAAGUCGAGCGAACAGACGAGGAGCUUGCUCCUCCGACGUUAGCGGCGGACGGGUGAGUAACACGUGGAUAACCUACCUAUAAGACUGGGAUAACUUCGGGAAACCGGAGCUAAUACCGGAUAAUAUAUUGAACCGCAUGGGUCAAUAGUGAAAGACGGUUUUGGUGUCACUUAUAGAUGACUCCGCGUCUCAUUAGGGAGUUGGUAAGGAAAUGGCUUACCAAGACGACGAUGCGUAGCCGACCCAAGAGGGUCGUUUGCCACACUGGAGGUUAGUCACGGUCCAGACUCCUACGAGGGGCACCGGUAGGGGAUAUUCCGCAAUGGGCGAAUGGCUUAUAUAGGAACACCGCGUGAAAGAUGAAGGUCUUCGGAUCCUUAAACGCUGUAGUUAUGGAAGAUCAAAAGUGUAAGUAACCAUGCACGUCUUGACGGUACCUAAUCAAAAAGCAACGGCUAACUACGUG